rnacentral:rRNA from 1 species
CCUACGGGACGCAGCAGUGGGGAAUAUUGGGCAAUGGGCGCAAGCCUGACCCAGCAACGCCGCGUGAAGGAAGAAGGCUUUCGGGUUGUAAACUUCUUUUAAGAGGGAAGAGCAGAAGACGGUACCUCUUGAAUAAGCCACGGCUAACUACGUGCCAGCAGCCGCGGUAAUACGUAGGUGGCAAGCGUUGUCCGGAUUUACUGGGUGUAAAGGGAGCGUAGACGGUAUGGCAAGUCUGAUGUGAAAACCCGGGGCUCAACCCCGGGACUGCAUUUGAAACUGUUUUUCUUGAGUACCGGAGAGGU